GAUGAACGCUGGCGGCGUGCCUAAUACAUGCAAGUCGAGCGAAUGGAUUAAGAGCUUGCUCUUAUGAAGUUAGCGGCGGACGGGUGAGUAACACGUGGGUAACCUGCCCAUAAGACUGGGAUAACUCCGGGAAACCGGGGCUAAUACCGGAUAACAUUUUGAACCGCGUGGUUCGAAAUUGAAAGGCGGCUUCGGCUGUCACUUAUGGAUGGACCCGCGUCGCAUUAGCUAGUUGGUGAGGUAACGGCUCACCAAGGCAACGAUGCGUAGCCGACCUGGGAGGGUGAUCGGCCACACUGGGACUGAGACACGGCCCAGACUCCUACGGGAGGCAGCAGUAGGGAAUCUUCCGCGAUGGACGAAAGUCUGACGGAGCAACGCCGCGUGAGUGAUGAAGGCUUUCGGGUCGUAAAACGCUGUUGUUAGGGAAGAACAAGUGCUAGUUGAAUAAGCUGGCACCUUGACGGUACCUAACCAGAAAGCCACGGCUAACUACGUGCCAGCCGCCGCAGUAA
rnacentral:rRNA from 1 species